rnacentral:lncRNA from 1 species
AGUCACCACCCAUUGGAGUUUUCAACUAAGCCUCAGGGCCUUUGUCUCUGCCAACAAAGAAAUGGCUGGCAAACGCCCCCACGGCUCGUGAGCUGCCUGGCUACUCUCAGCUCCCCAGUAUGAUUCUGCUAGACUGGAUGAUACUGAAAACCCGUCACCAGUUGUGCAGGCUGCUCUCCUAGAGCUCAGGAACAAGCUGAAGUCACAGGCCGUCACUUGGACUGAUGAACUGCGGAAACAAGUGGGAUCCAGCAUGCACUCAAUCAAGGUGGCUCCAUCGUCAUUAUGGCCAUCCACAACGUCACCAUCAUCAGUUUGCUGUGUAGGAAGAGACAGUCGCCUUUCAGGCAGUGAUUCUAAGCAUGAAGAGUCUGGGGAAGCACAUCGACGUGAAAGGGAACAAGCAGGAAGUGCGUUUCUCCAUGGGGCCUGGGAGUCAGUGCUGACGCCCAGCCUGAAACGCACAGUCGCUUGCAGUUGUGGUGGAGGAGGAAGCCAUGGAUGCCAUCGAUGACGUGUGGCCAGGUCUGGAAACGAGGCAUCAGAGAAGCAGAAGGACGGGGACGUGAGGUGAUAAGGAAUUAGUCACAGGGAUCUGACCCUCCGCAGCUGUGGGAGCUGGUGAGACAGUCUCUUAAUAAACUUGUUGUCUUCAGAUCUGAUGCUGGAGUGCUGAGAGCCAUACCUGUGUCUCCCGUUUCUGCUCCUAGAGAAUCUGAAGGCUGACAGGUACCAUUUUCCCUUCUUUCUUUUCAAAGGAGGCUGUUUUUAACAUUUUUUUCCCCUGUAUCUCUUUCUUCUUCCCCUCUUUUCAUCCUGACCCCAUUUGACAUUUUGUAAGCAGUGAGCUAAGUGGUAAACUCAG